GAAAGUCCACAUGAGAACUCACACAGGUGAGAAGCCGUACUCUUGUAACAUAUGUGGAAAAAGAUUUUCUCACAUAUCAACACAGAGAAGGCACACAGCAAUCCACAAAGAGGAAAAGCCAUUUUCUUGUGGAAAAUGUGGGAAAAGUUUUCAUUAUCGGGAUACCUUGGUGCUUCACAUGAGAACUCACACAGGUGAGAAGCCGUACUCUUGUAACUCAAGCGGAAAAAGAUUUUCUGGCCUAUGAGGACAUAAAAUGCACACAGCAAUAAAUUUGUGAUUUAGGUCAUUUUUACAUGACAUAGACAAACAUCCUCCGAGACACAAAAUGCAGGUUUACCAAACAGUACAUGAUGACAAAUAUACAGGGACACUUGAUACCUCAAGCAGCACUAAACAGAUUUUAUGUGUCAUCUUCCUUCUGAUCUUCUGUUCAGCCGAUGUUUUGGACAAAAAAAUAUAAAAGGCCUCCAAAUGCUUUUAAACAAGUCCUUUUUUUCCUCUCAGCAGGUAUGUAAUCCAUUCCAAUGGAAGUGUAGCCAACAUCUGUUUAACCCAGCGUCCAAUGCUCGGUGGGCUAAUGUUUUUCCAGUGUAAUGCAAUCAAUCUUUUUGCUUGUAGUAGACAAAUAUCAAUAAAGAGCUGCUCAUUUUUUUGUAAA